rnacentral:lncRNA from 1 species
GAUUGUGAGGAUUGGGAGAGCAUCCAGAGGAAAACACAAGUGAGAGAAAAUAUAGAGUGAGAGUGAGAAACUCUUAGGGAGAGUAAGACUCUUGGGAAAAUUCUGUGAGGGUACAAGGGAUUGGGGUUUGGGUUAUGUCGAUUUAACUCAAGUGUAUCUUGUACUAGUUAUUCUCAUAGUGAAGAGUAAUAUCUCCGGGGACGUAGGCAGGUUUUUGCCGAACCUCGUAAAUUUCUCGGUGUCUUUAUUUCUUGUAUUUUAUUCUGUUCAACUGAGUGUGAUUUUUUGGUGAGGUUGUAAUUUGAAUCUCGAUUCUGCACUAACGAACGGACCAAAGCACAACAAUUGGUAUCAGAGCUUUGUUGGAAGCUUUGGUUCAUUGACGGUUCAGAUUUUUUAUUCACCAUGAUGACUACAAACAUGUCAUUUUCAGUUGAGAAGUUUAAUGGGAAAGGAAGUUUUACUCUUUGGCAGAUGAGAGUAAAGGAUGUCUUGACUCAACAAGGCUUGGCUAGAGCUUUGAAGGGAAAAGAUGGGAAGCCUCAAGAAAUGACAGAUGACCAGUGGGAGGAGCUGGAGGCGCGUUGUGUUAGCACGAUUCGACACUGUAUAGCUGAUAACAUUAUCAAUAAUGUUAUGGAUGAAGAUUCUGCGCCUGCACUUUGGGAGAAGUUGGAAAAACUCUAUAUUGCUAAGAGUUUGACCAACAAGUUGCAUUUGAAGCGGAAACUGUACAAGCUGAAGAUGGAUGAAGGUGGGAAUCUCAUGGACCACAUGAAUGAGUUCAACGGAUACUUGGAUCAAUUGCGGAAAGUUGAUGUUAAGGUUGAGGAAGAAGACAAAGCCCUCUUACUUCUUACCUCACUUCCAAAUUCGUAUGAAAAAUCUUGUGACAACCUUACUGCAUGGAAAAGAUACAGUAAGUUUGGAGCAGGUGCAAGCUUCUUUGGUGUCUUAUGAUACACAAAAGAAGAAGACCAUUGUUGAUGGUGGGCACGAGACUGCUUUAGCUGUUCAAGGUUGGAAUCGUGGAAGAAAAUUGGGAGAAGGAUCUGAGAGAGACAACAGGUUCAAAUCCGGUUCCGGAGGCAAAGGUCUACAAUGCUACAACUGCAAAGAAUUCGGGCAUAAAAAGAAAAAUUGUCCUUUGAGAAAAAGAAAGGAUGAUCUUGGUACGGGUUGUAGCAAUUUUGUGGCGGAAGACUUCGAGUAUGCCCUCUAGGUACUCGAAGCAACACUUCUCCUGGUGAUGUUUAGUCUCAAGUGUCGCAGGGGUUUUGCAACAGGUGGAGCUAUGGGAUUCACAGGUGAUGAGAUGAUCAUGAGGUAGGAGGAAGUGUGGGAAUUUUGUCUGGCUCGAUGGGUUGUUACUGGAAACGGGCGCGUUGACGAGUUUCCAGGUUGCAGACAAUGAAGAGGAGGAAAACCUGCUGGAGGAGACGAGGAUGUGUCGAGAUCCUGUCUGAAGCUAAAUGGUGAUUUUUAGCUUGCAGCAGCUGCACAUGCAUUGGCAGUGACUGAAUCAGGAAUAGGACCAACGAGGUUGAUUCAGGGUGUGUAUGCUGGUACGUAAGGCCAAUGGACAUUGGUGAUGGGUGCAAGGAUUUUUGCACAGUAUAUUCGCCAAGGUGGAGAUUGUUGUGUUUGGCUCAUAUAAUUAUGAGUUGGCAACCAUUUCCUCUCAACUUUGUGGACUUUGGAAGCAUGUUUUGUGGAAGCAUGUUUUGAGGAAGCAUGUUUUGUGGAAGCAUGUUUUGAGGAAGCAUGUUUUGUGGAAGCAUGUUUUGUGGAAGCAUGUUUUGUGGUUGACAUAAUUGAUGGUGCAUGUCUAUAAGUGAAGGCAUUUUUCACACACAAAAUGAAGAGAGCUUGCCGAUUGUGAGGAUUGGGAGAGCAUCCAGAGGAAAACACAAGUGAGAGAAAAUAUAGAGUGAGAGUGAGAAACUCUUAGGGAGAGUAAGACUCUUGGGAAAAUUCUGUGAGGGUACAAGGGAUUGGGGUUUGGGUUAUGUCGAUUUAACUCAAGUGUAUCUUGUACUAGUUAUUCUCAUAGUGAAGAGUAAUAUCUCCGGGGACGUAGGCAGGUUUUUGCCGAACCUCGUAAAUUUCUCGGUGUCUUUAUUUCUUGUAUUUUAUUCUGUUCAACUGAGUGUGAUUUUUUGGUGAGGUUGUAAUCUGAAUCUCGAUUCUGCACUAACGAACGGACCAAAGCACAACACAAAAG